rnacentral:rRNA from 1 species
UACGUAGGGGGCAAGCGUUGUCCGGAAUCACUGGGCUUAAAGCGCGUGUAGGCGGGCCGGCACGUCGGUCGCUGAAAUCCCGCGGCUCAACCGCGGAAGGGGCGCCGAUACGACCGGCCUGGAGGGGGGUAGGGGGCGCCGGAACUCACGGUGGAGCGGUGAAAUGCGUAGAGAUGUGGAGGAACACCAGUGGCGAAGGCGACUCUUUGGCCUGUAACUGACGCUGAGGCGCGAAAGCGUGGGGAGCAAACAGG